GACGAACGCUGGCGGCGUGCCUAAUACAUGCAAGUAGAACGCUGAAGGAGGAGCUUGCUUCUCUGGAUGAGUUGCGAACGGGUGAGUAACGCGUAGGUAACCUGCCUGGUAGCGGGGGAUAACUAUUGGAAACGAUAGCUAAUACCGCAUAAUAGUAGAUGUUGCAUGACAUUUGCUUAAAAGGUGCAAUUGCAUCACUACCCGAUGGACCUGCGUUGUAUUAGCUAGUUGGUGAGGUAACGGCUCACCAAGGCAACGAUACAUAACCGACCUGAGAGGGUGAUCGGCCACACUGGGACUGAGACACGGCCCAGACUCCUACGGGAGGCAGCAGUAGGGAAUCUUCGGCAAUGGACGGAAGUCUGACCGAGCAACGCCGCGUGAGUGAAGAAGGUUUUCGGAUCGUAAAGCUCUGUUGUAAGAGAAGAACGAGUGUGAGAGUGGAAAGUUCACACUGUGACGGUAUCUUACCAGAAAGGGACGGCUAACUACGUG
rnacentral:rRNA from 1 species